GUCUAUGGCCAUACCACCCUGAACGCACCCAAUCUCGUCUGAUCUCAGAAGCUAAGCAGGGUUGGGCCUGGUUAGUACUUGGAUGGGCAAACUCAGAAAUAACCCUGCAACCAUCUAUU
ensembl:rRNA 5S_rRNA 5S ribosomal RNA